GAGGGGGUAGUUAAACUGGAAAAACCUUAGAAUUUGGCUCUAAAGUUGUGGGUUCGAGCCCCACUCCCCUAG
rfam:Trichoplax adhaerens isolate Grell Red Sea mitochondrion, complete genome.